rnacentral:rRNA from 1 species
AUUGAACGCUGGCGGCAUGCUUUACACAUGCAAGUCGAACGGUAACAGGCCGCAAGGUGCUGACGAGUGGCGAACGGGUGAGUAAUGCAUCGGAACGUGCCCAGUCGUGGGGGAUAACGCAGCGAAAGCUGUGCUAAUACCGCAUACGAUCUAUGGAUGAAAGCGGGGGACCGUAAGGCCUCGCGCGAUUGGAGCGGCCGAUGUCAGAUUAGGGAGUUGGUGGGGUAAAGGCUCACCAAGCCAACGAUCUGUAGCUGGGCGGAGAGGACGACCAGCCACACUGGGACGGAGACACGGCCCAGACUCCUACGGGAGGCAGCAGUGGAGAAUUUUGGACAAUGGGGGCAAGCCUGAUCCAGCAAUGCCGCGUGCAGGAAGAAGGCCUCGGGUUGUAAACUGCUUUUGUACGGAACGAAACGGCGAGCUCUAAUACAGUUUGCUAAUGACGGUACCGUAAGAAUAAGCACCGGCUAACUACGUGCCAGCAGCCGCCGUAA